GGUGUAGCGCAGUCUGGUAGCGCAUCUGCUUUGGGAGCAGAGGGUCGUAGGUUCGAAUCCUAUCGCC
rnacentral:tRNA from 1 species